CCUACGGGAGGCAGCAGUGGGGAAUUUUGGACAAUGGGCGAAAGCCUGAUCCAGCAAUGCCGCGUGCAGGAAGAAGGCCUUCGGGUUGUAAACUGCUUUUGUACGGAACGAAACGGUCUGCUUUAAUACAGUGGGCUAAUGACGGUACCGUAAGAAUAAGCACCGGCUAACUACGUGCCAGCAGCCGCGGUAAUACGUAGGGUGCGAGCGUUAAUCGGAAUUACUGGGCGUAAAGCGUGCGCAGGCGGUUAUAUAAGACAGUUGUGAAAUCCCCGGGCUCAACCUGGGAAUUGCAUCUGUGACUGUAUAGCUAGAGUACGGUAGAGGGGGAUGGAAUUCCGCGUGUAGCAGUGAAAUGCGUAGAUAUGCGGAGGAACACCGAUGGCGAAGGCAAUCCCUUGGACCUGUACUGACGCUCAUGCACGAAAGCGUGGGGAGCAAACAGGAUUAGAUACCCUGGUAGUCCACGCCCUAAACGAUGUCAACUGGUUGUGGGUGNNUAUAUACAUACGAGAUACGCGUGAGUGACGCCGNGGAGGACGGCCGGCGAGUUAGUUAACGUACGAAGUUAGUAAGUUAGNGGCGUGAGACGNGCCGACGGACGACGACGAGGGAGGAGG
rnacentral:rRNA from 1 species